CAGUCGCCGCGGGAAUACGUAGGGCGCAAGCGUUAUCCGGAAUUAUUGGGCGUAAAGAGCUCGUAGGCGGUUUGUCGCGUCUGCCGUGAAAGUCCGGGGCUCAACCCCGGAUCUGCGGUGGGUACGGGCAGACUAGAGUGAUGUAGGGGAGACUGGAAUUCCUGGUGUAGCGGUGAAAUGCGCAGAUAUCAGGAGGAACACCGAUGGCGAAGGCAGGUCUCUGGGCAUUAACUGACGCUGAGGAGCGAAAGCAUGGGGAGCGAACAGGAUUAGAUACCCGUGUAGUCCCUGUCUCUUAUAC
rnacentral:rRNA from 1 species